AGUCCCCAUCCAAAUGUAAAUAGUGCUCCGGCAUCUGUUACUACUGCACUAUGCCGACCUCCACAUGCAAUUACCUUCACAUAACUUCCAGGGAAUUUAGAAGCUUUUGCUGAUGAAUCUAAGCUUCCUUGAGGGGCUAUCAUGGACUGAUCUUUCCCCAAAGCUGAUGUAUCAAGGCAAGGUAUGAGAUGAGGAGAAGAAACCAUUUUUAUCCAGGA
rnacentral:misc_RNA from 1 species